rnacentral:rRNA from 1 species
CAGUCGCCGCGGGAAUACGUAGGUGGCUAGCGUUGUCCGGAAUUAUUGGGCGUAAAGCGCGCGCAGGCGGUUUCUUAAGUCUGAUGUGAAAGCCCCCGGCUUAACCGGGGAGGGUCAUUGGAAACUGGGAGACUUAGAGUGCAGAAGAGGAGAGUGGAGUUCCACGUGUAGCGGUGAAAUGCGUAGAGAUGUGGAGGAACACCAGUGGCGAAGGCGACUCUCUGGUCUGUAACUGACGCUGAGGAGCGAAAGCGUGGGGAGCGAACAGGAUUAGAUACCCCCGUAGUCCCUGUCUCUUAUA